rnacentral:rRNA from 1 species
AGUGGCGACCGGGUGAGUAACACGUGACUACCUGCCCUCGAGUGGGGAAUAACUCCGGGAAACCGGGGCUAAUACCGCAUAACCGCAAGCAAAGCAGCGCUUGAGGAGGGGGUCGCGGCUGAUUAGCUAGUUGGUGAGGUAACGGCUCACCAAGGCGAAGAUCGGUAUCCGGCCUGAGAGGGCGCACGGACACACUGGAACUGAAACACGGUCCAGACUCCUACGGGAGGCAGCAGUGGGGAAUUUUGCGCAAUGGGGGAAACCCUGACGCAGCAACGCCGCGUGGAGGAUGAAGCCCUUUGGGGCGUAAACUCCUUUCGACCGGGACGAUUGACGGUACCGGUGGAAGAAGCACCGGCUAACUCUGUGCCAGCAGCCGCGGUAAUAC